ensembl:lncRNA
AUCAGACUGGGAAAUAGUUUACUGUGCACCACUAUCAGCUACCUUGUCCUUAAACAGCUCUGCCCUGCAAUCCAGAACAUCCUUCAAGACGGACUGAAACCCUAUCAAUUAGACUUGAUUAUUGGACAACGACGCAACGAACUAUGGAACGUCAUAGAGGCCACAGCACGACCAGGCUCAUCUACACGACUGUCUGACAGCUUGGUGUCUUUAGUAAAAAAAUGUUCCCAGUUACCAAGUCGCAUGCGGCUCAGUGUCUUCAUCAUAGAUCUGCUAAAGUAGGUCAAAUGCUGAAUACAUCUGCUAAAAUUUAUGCCACAGUACAGUUAGCUAAUGAAAAUAUUGCUUUUUAGCUUGCAUGCUUUGGAAUUCUGGAUCCAUCAUUUAUACACAUGCGUUGAUGUUGUGAAGGAACACUAUCACCAAUGGGGUUUCUUGGCUCUGGCCCAGGGGUCAACUUAUGGACCAUUGUUCCAAGAGCUGCUUCUUUUGCUGCAGCCACUCUCCCUGCUGCCAUUUGACCUCCAUCUUCCAUCAGAAACUCACCUUCAGAGUAAUGAAAAGCAAAAGAACAGAGCACCCCUGCCUCAACGGCUUCUUGGCCAGUCAGCUCAGAUCCUGCAGAUGAACUCAAUCCAGAAGAAAAGCAGGAGUCCAACAGGUCACAGUGGUGCCUUUAGUAAAAGGGUAACUGACAGAUUUUGGCUCAGUCAGACACCCAUCUCAGAGUGUAGAACACAGAAGAAAGAGGAUGAAGGAACCAGAAUGGAAAACAGUGAGACGUCACAAUCUUCAUCAAGUCCUCUGGAGGACAAACACUUUAGUGAGCUGCAUUGGGCCAGGCUCUUCGGCUCUAGAGUUGGAACACCAGUUGGCCCACAGAAGGCACAACAAAACAGGAGUGGACCUCUGAGAAGUAGGCGGCCCUCGGAAUGGCUGAAGCUUGCUGCAUCCAAAGUGGAUCUGCUUGCGGAGUCAGUAUGGACAGGGAAAUUGCCAGAGGCUCAUCUGAAUGGUAACCGUGACAGCGAUACACCAAAUAAAGAUUAAAUAUUAACUCUAAAGAGGCAGCAAAG